rfam:Drosophila grimshawi strain TSC#15287-2541.00 scaffold_15252 genomic scaffold, whole genome shotgun sequence.
UUUCUUGUGAUGAUACUUACUGAUAGGGACAACUGAAUUAUGUGAUUGAUUUAUCAUAUUUAUAAUAAGCACUGAUUUA